CCAUCCUAAAGCACCUUCCAUCAUUGUUGAAAUUCCAGAAAUGGUAUCAAGAAAAAGUCUUUCUUUAUAAACCUGAAAAGUAGAGCUGUCCCAUGGGGCCUGAUAUUCUUCCCCUCCUUUUUGGAAGGGUACAGUUCACAUCAGCUACCUAAUUAAACCUCUGGUCUGCCUGCCUUAUUCUGGGGCUAUCAGCUUCUGUGGAAUAAGAACAUGUCUAAAAUCCAGUCUGUCCCAAGCACAUAGCACUUUGUGCACACACCUUUCCUGGCAAGCACCAUUGACCUUCCCCACAGUAUGGCUAUUUGUUGUUAUUUUUGUGGUAGCAGAAGUAUGUUAGAUGCUAAUGAAGUACUUAUAUUUAGUAAGUGCACUGUUAUGAGCUGGCUGUGAAGCUGUCAGCAGCACUGUUAUUAAAGAGCACAAGCCUAACACAAAGGUGCACUGCACAGAGAAUGGGUUCUUUAUGUUAUACAGAAGCACAUUUAAUGAGUUUAUUUUGGUUAGCUUUUGGUUUAGUCUCGGGUCCGCCAAUACUGACAUCAUUUUUCCAAGCAGGGAGCACCAUCUAAGACUUCUCUGCAUCACUGUCCUCGGGGUGGGCCAGUGUGUGGGCUGAUGCAGUGCUCAGCACUCCAGAUCAUUUCAUUUUGGCAACCAUUCUGCUUCUGCUGUCUCUAUCUCCAUAUUCUAUUUUAGGGGCUUAUAGAGCACCAAUCUUCUCAACUAAAAUAUAACUGAAACAAUAUAUUCAGCACCAAAUAAGCAAAAAGCAAAAGACUCAAAAUAGACUAUUUUGUUAUUAUUAUUAUGGGGUUAAAUCACUGAAACAUAGAUAUCUUCCUACUCCUCAUCCCACUUCUUUCUUUAGUUUGUCUCAUCUUGUUCUCUCCUCAGGGACGUACUGCUGGCCCACAAGCUUGUGCAAAAAAAACCCAAAACCAAAAAACCUCGAACUCUGUUCUGUGAUGGGUCCAUGGGUGCCAAGUAGUCAUCUAGCAUAAUUCUUGAAAAACAAUGUUAUUGGUUGAAUUUCAUCUGUCCUGACAUCCUUGCACCAAUCCCCCCGUCUGCAGUGGGGGCCAGGGAACAUCCUUUGGAGAGCGAUCUCGCACGGCAGCAUUGCGUUGGCACGAAAACACAGCUACGCCCGAACCUGCGCUUCUAAGUGAAGUGUAUUUAUUCUUGGUCAGUGGGUCUGGGGAAGGGGGUGGAUUUUUAACCAGGUACCCCAAAGGCAGGAUAUAGAGGAAUAACUGUCGAUAUGCCGGGGGCUUCAGUUCGCCACAGAAGAUCUAAGUUAUUUGGCAAGACCUCGCUGGGGCUGCACCUCUCCCCGCUGAGCACUGCGGGUCCUGCCGGCGCUCCCAAAGGCUGUGGCGACAUUCGCAAUUAAGCGAGAGCCACUGCAGGGCUCGCAGCUGUGCCUCCCGCAGAUGCCAUUUGCCGACUUGGCACAGGCAGCUCUGCAGCUCCUCUGGAGGCACUUCAGGGUUCGCCUGAAGUGAGGCUUUGGCUCGGCUCGGCUCGGCGCUGGUGACUCUCCCGCUCUCCACGCAGGAACUGCUGAUGGCGAUUAAUGUUACAACCAACAGCAGAGCCCCAGGUGGCACAGCACAGAACGCUCCGCUUUCCCAGAGCCUCCCGAGGGACACUGUUUUCUCCCCCUUUCCCGCGGGCAGCGGGGCCGCAGCGGGAGCGCUCUGUGCCGGGCUCGGGGGAAGGCGGCUGCACCCCGCACCCUGACAGGUCCUGAAACGCCAGCGAGGGAGAGGCAGCGCUGAGGCGUCCGGUCCGGUCCGAUCCGAUCCGAUCCGAUCCGAUCCCAGCUCCCUCCCUCCCUCCACGGGCAGCUCCCACCAGCUAUCCCCUGGCUGGCGGCGGGACCUAUAUCCUCUCGCGGAAGGCUACCGCUCGCUGGCACGGCGGCAUCCGACGGAAGCGGUGCUGUGGCUUCUGAGGCAGCACUUUGUGAAGGCGCGCCUGAUUGGCUGACGGGGCUCCGCAAUGGUUAUCUGGGUGCCAGAGGUGCAAAACGUGGCAGUACAAACUUGCUUAUUGUGCCCUGCCCCUGGCGGUGUGAGGAGCGUCUCUUGGACCGCUGCUCCAAGUGACAGCUUGAGUGGCAGCUGGGGGAGGAUGUGCUCGGCGGAGUGAUGACUGAGCGCUGAAAUAUCUUGCUGAAACGCUGCAAAAUCUUUCAACACAAAGAGGUGUUUCUGCAAAAUUAGCCCCGAAACGCGAAGCUGCGCCGAUGUAUACGAGGUUCGUGUGCAUCCAUCUGGGACUUGUGGUCCCCUUGGGCCUGGCCAGAACCUGCUCCAGCCCGGUUCCAUAGGUACCAUAACCGCUUGUAUGGGUUUUUUUUAGAUAAAGCAUAGAUAAGCCAGAAGCAAACAAAUAAAGCCAUCUCUGCACCACUAAGUAGCUUACAGGACUGCUUUAAAAACGAUAGGGUUUUUAAACCAGCAAGAACUUCCUGGCGCAUCUGUGAAGUUUGAUAUAGUAACCGUCUAAAGGUAGAAGUAGGUUACAGACACUCAUUAUCUAAAUUCUUCAGUAUUUCUGCUGCUGGAGUGUUUUCAUUGCUCUUUUUCAAAAUCCCAUUCUUGAAGAGUGAGUCAGCACUGUGAAUGUGUCAGGGAGCAGUGUUUUAAAUAAGGUUUCACUGCUAAGCAAUCAUUAAAGAGUAUGUUUAUAUAUGAAAAAAUUGCAAACUUGCACAUGAACAUAACAGCUUGAUUUCUUGACUCUCGUGAAAGUUCUCUUCCUAAAUACAGUUUUCAGGAUAAUGUUCCUGAUGCUCUAGUGGAGGGAUUUUGAGUCCUUGGUAAUAUAUUUUCCUUAUUCCAUUUGCUUACUAGGAAGUAGAACCGUUUUUAUUUUUAAAUUAUUGUGAUUUCCUUUUCACAGCCUUACUGAGUACAAACUGUUUUCCUGCUGGCAUGAACACUUCUUACUGUCUUUUUUCCAAAGAACUCUUUAAAAAUACUAAACACAAUCUAGCCUCUUCUUCUUGUAAUCCUAGCCAAGUGGAACAAGUGCAGUGAACCCUUUAUGGGAAAAUUACAUGCCUGUGUAAUUAUAACAUUAAUGAGUGCAAGUUUGCUAAAGUGAAACAUAAAAGUGAGAUUGCAAAGAUCAUUUCGUUGCUUACCUGGUGAUUUAAAGUGUGAUAACAGUUUUGAAAAAAAUUGUGUUUGAAAACUUUAAAUCUAAACCAGCUUGAGAUCUUAACAAAUGGAAAGGAAAUUGGUAUAAAGCACUGGUAAAGGGGUAAAGGCAUCACCUUGCUCUGGACUAUUCUUCAGAAUUCUCCAGAGUAUUCUCCAGAACAACCUUAUAUGACUCAUAAAACAAAUUUGUUGUAUGAAUUUACUAUAAUGACUGUACACAUAAUAGAACUAUAUUAAUAUCAGAGAACCUGAAAAAAGCUUUUAGAAGUGACAUCAUCAUUCAAUGGGAAAUAAAUAUAUCAAUUUCAGGGUUCACAAGAAAAUCAUUGUUACCCCAGGCAGUCUCCCGUAAAGCAGCCUGUUAAAAAGAUAACCUCAAGAGCUCUGGUGUGUUCAGGGGAGCAAUAAUAUUCUAAGAAUUAGCUUACUUUGACCAAAAGUUCUAGAAUGAAUCAAUGGAAAUAAAUACCAAUUACAUGUUUAUUAGAAAGAGUGACACUAAUCAAGUUACGGUACUUUCCACAGCUCAGAGUGAUGAUGCUACAUUUUUUAUGGGUGCUCUGUGUAAGCCAUGUCCAAAGCCAUCAGAGAGUAUGUCAAAGGCAAUGUGGAACAGAGUUCGUUACAGUUCUAAAUAUAUCACAUUCAAAACAUUCUGACUGAAAACAUGCCCCAUCCAUUUAAAGCAACCAUUUUAAAAGCAGUGUAUUUACAGAUAUGUCAUUACACCAACAUCUGGUAAAUGUAUGCAGGUCUGCCAUCUUAUGGAGCCUGAAUGGUACUGCCAAAUAACAGAAUGUGGAACUAUGUGUUCGUAUUAGAUGAAUAGUUUGAAUUUCUCCUUUACAGGUAAUGUGUGUUUUCUUUUAAAACUCACGCCAUUUGAAUGCAUUGUUUCUGCUCGAUUUGUGUAUUUGUUGCAUUCAUGUGUGCAUGCAGGUGUACACAUGUAAACACACAGUCAAAUAAAGGCAUUGCAUUGCAAGUUCAAGCAUAUAAAAGCUGGGAACCGUUAAAGUUGAAGUUGGUUGUUUACAUUAUAUGACUGCCUUGAGCAACAUCAUCAUGCCCUAUUUUUGGGGGGGACCACUGUCUGAUCUGUCUGAUUCAGCAUUCAGGUUAGAUGGUGCUAUUAGUGAGUAGCUGUUCAGAAUUUUGCUUUAGUCUCUUUGUUUGGAGUGUGACUGUGCUGUAUUUGCUGUAAGCUAGUCAAGCCCUAUUCUAAAGACAAAAUUAUUAAUUCCUCUAAGGACUUUUCUGUAGCUGUUAUUAUUAGAGUAUGAUUAUGAGCAAUUUUGAAUUAAGUUUGUACAGGCCAAGGCAGACAAUUAUCAUGGAAAUUUUCAGCCCAAGUGAUUAAAGUUUGGCGAAGCUAUUAAAGUUGCUAAAAUGA